rnacentral:rRNA from 1 species
UACGAAGGGGGCGAGCGUUGUUCGGAUUUACUGGGCGUAAAGGGCGCGCAGGCGGCUUUGUUUGUCAGGCGUGAAAGCCCCGGGCUUAACCUGGGAACUGCGUUUGAUACGGCAGGGCUAGAGUUCGGGAGAGGAGAGUGGAAUUCCCAGUGUAGAGGUGAAAUUCGUAGAUAUUGGGAAGAACACCGGUGGCGAAGGCGGC